UAGAUUCUUGGACUUAGCCUUUCAAAUUCUAUAGGACUACUCUCUAUCAAAGUCGAUAGAUCCUGUUUUGAUGUGCACUCCACUCCUACAGUGAACCAACUGUCGCCAACAUCUACUACAAGGGCUCAUUGAGACCCAUGUUUAUGUGUCAGUCAAAUUUCAGUAGUCUCACUGCGAGUAGCAGUACCAUCUCAAAUCAAAGGACCAGUCAUACAAUUACAGCAUCGAGACAAUCACUGACGAUUGAAUAGAAAUCCAAAUGAUCUCUCGUAUGGUCACGUUCAGUACUAGUUGUUCUCUAACAACCAUCUGCACUCGUCAUCCUGUAUCUCUACACAGUCGACUAGAGACUCAUCUAUCCCGAAAGAAGUGAUUUGUGCGCC
rnacentral:lncRNA from 1 species